AGCAGUCGCCGCGGUAAAACGUAGGUGGCAAGCGUUGUCCGGAAUUAUUGGGCGUAAAGGGCUCGCAGGCGGUUUCUUAAGUCUGAUGUGAAAGCCCCCGGCUCAACCGGGGAGGGUCAUUGGAAACUGGGAAACUUGAGUGCAGAAGAGGAGAGUGGAAUUCCACGUGUAGCGGUGAAAUGCGUAGAGAUGUGGAGGAACACCAGAGGCGAAGGCGACUCUCUGGUCUGUAACUGACGCUGAGGAGCGAAAGCGUGGGGAGCGAACAGGAUUAGAUACCCCAGUAGUCCCUGUCUCUUAACA
rnacentral:rRNA from 1 species